UAUAAUGAAACCCACUCUUUUACAAAGACCAAAAAGGUUAUUCUAUAACCCAUUAUAA
rnacentral:tRNA from 1 species